GAAAUUAGAGAUUGACAAUUGACAGUGUAAUAUUAUGUUAGGAGAAAAAGAAUAAGAAAAGAAUUUAAAGUUUAAUGUUAUUUUCCUGUAUGUGUUUGAGAAGCAAUGCGGUAAUGGGAGGGUCCAUGAGGACCAGGAGCGUUUGAAAAUUGAUAGGACGCGGGAUGUUUUUUGGUAAAAUGUCGUACAUCGAGUGUUUAAGCUUGCUGCACGAAAAGAAAAUGUGAUCAGGAGUUCCUUCGUCAAGCCCGCAUUCGCACAGGGAACUAUCCCGAACCCUAAUUUUGGCAAGGAACACCGGAGUACAGACGUGACCUAAUCGGAGACGACAGAGUGUAGACGUGGCCCAUUUGGUAGCGGAACGGAAGCGGAAGAACCAUGGUUUAUAUGGAAUAAUUGGCUAUUGAGGAUGAAUGGGGAUAACAUUUUCAUUUUGAAAUGGUUGCCCAAUACGGCCUGUAAGCAGCUUUUAGCGUCAGAGAAAAUGACAACUUUUGGGAUGCUGUGAGACUCUACAUAUGUCACAGCCUCCAUCAAUGCAAUUGAUUCACCGGUAAAGACAGAGGCCUGUGAAGGGCAUUUGUAGGAUAGAAGGAUACGGUAUCUGGGUAUCCAAAUUGCUGCUCCCACACAGCUAUUAUUGUUCAGUUUUGAUGCGUCUGUGUAAAUUGGUAUCAAGGCGGAGAGAGCUUGUAGCCGAGGGAUGAGCAAGUGAUUUGAUAUGGAGCAAGCCCUCAAUACAUAUCGGUCUGCAAGGAGUUGUCUGCGGAGAGAUAGCGGUGGAUCUACACACUCCACCUGCAUGCCAUUCUUUGGGUUCUAGGACAAGGGAGCCAUAGUCCAUUUGGCUGCGGAUUAAGGCAUUGUACACUAAUUUCUGGCAGUAAGGAUGUGCACCCCACCAAACCCCAGAGAGAGAUCGGAGAACAUUUAUGCCUCUUUCACAUUUGCCAACGAUAUGUUUCAAAUGUGGAACACCUGACAUUUUGGAAUCAAAAAACACUCCCAGAAAUUUUACCAUAUUACUGGAGGGUAUAAUUUGGUCUUCAUAGCGAAGAAGUAUAUUUGGGAUGGAGUGACGGCGAGUGAAGGUAACAGUGCUGCUUUUUGAGGGAGAAAGAGAUAGACCAUGCUCAUCCAACCAUUCCUUAAGGUAUACAAGAG